rnacentral:rRNA from 1 species
GAUGAACGCUGGCGGCGUGCCUAAUACAUGCAAGUCGAACGAAGGUAUUUAUACCUUAGUGGCGAACGGGUGAGUAACACGUAGGUAACCUGCCCUCAAGCCGAGGAUAACAGUUGGAAACGACUGCUAAUACUCGAUAGGUAAUUUCUUGGCAUCAAGAAAUUAUUAAAGAUCCGUAUGGAUUACUUGGGGAGGGACCUGCGCCGCAUUAGUUAGUUGGUGGGGUAAUGGCCUACCAAGACAAUGAUGCGUAGCCGGACUGAGAGGUUGAACGGCCACACUGGGACUGAGACACGGCCCAG